UGGGGAAUAUUGCGCAAUGGGGGCAACCCUGACGCAGCCAUGCCGCGUGAAUGAAGAAGGCCUUCGGGUUGUAAAGUUCUUUCGGUAGCGAGGAAGGCAUUUAGUUUAAUAGACUAGGUGAUUGACGUUAACUACAGAAGAAGCACCGGCUAACUCCGUGCCAGCAGCCGCGGUAAUACGGAGGGUGCGAGCGUUAAUCGGAAUAACUGGGCGUAAAGGGCACGCAGGCGGUGACUUAAGUGAGGUGUGAAAGCCCCGGGCUUAACCUGGGAAUUGCAUUUCAUACUGGGUCGCUAGAGUACUUUAGGGAGGGGUAGAAUUCCACGUGUAGCGGUGAAAUGCGUAGAGAUGUGGAGGAAUACCGAAGGCGAAGGCAGCCCCUUGGGAAUGUACUGACGCUCAUGUGCGAAAGCGUGGGGAGCAAACAGGAUUAGAUACCCUGGUAGUCCACGCUGUAAACGAUGUCGAUUUGGGGGUUGAACUUUAAGUUUGGCGCCCGUAGCUNACGUGAUAAAUCGACCGCCUGGGGAGUACGGCCGCAAGGUUA
rnacentral:rRNA from 1 species